GAUGAACGCUGGCGGCGUGCCUAAUACAUGCAAGUCGAGCGAACAGACGAGGAGCUUGCUCCUCUGACGUUAGCGGCUGACGGGUGAGUAACACGUGGAUAACCUACCUAUAAGACUGGGAUAACUUCGGGAAACCGGUGCUAAUACCGGAUAAUAUAUUGAACCGCAUGGUUCAAUAGUUAAAUACGGUUUUUCUGUCUCUUAUAGAUGGAUCCGCGCCGGAUUAGCUAGUUGGUAAGGUAACGGCUUACCAAGGCAACGAUGCGUAGCCGACCUGAGAGGGUGAUCGGCCACACUGGAAAUGAGACACGGUCCAGACUCCUACGGGAGGCAGCAGUAGGGAAUCUUCCGCAAUGGGCGAAAGCUUGACGGAGCAACGCCGCGUGAGUGAUGAAGGUCUUCGGAUCGUAAAACUCUGUUAUUAGGGAAGAACAAAUGUGUAAGUAACUAUGCACGUCUUGACGGUACCUAAUCAGAAAGCCACGGCUAACUACGUG
rnacentral:rRNA from 1 species